ensembl:snRNA U5 U5 spliceosomal RNA
AUGCUCUGGUUUCUCUUCAUAACAAAUCUUUUUGCCUUUUAUUAAAGAUUUCCAUGGAGAGAGUUAACAGUUAUGAAUUGGUGACCAAAUUUUUGAGGCCUUCUUAGGCCGGGCUA